UUGCUGUAACCCCUUAAUCAUGUUCACUACAGAAAAGUGAGUUAAUAAUUCUGAGAGUUGUCUCGAUUCCUUUCCCUAUUUCUGGAAAUAGAAGUCAUGAUUUAAAUUUUGGGCUGUAUUUUUCAGUUUAAAUACACCUCAGAACAAGUGGCAGCUUCAGCACUGCAGCCAGGGAAUAUAGAAUAAUAAUUGUUACUAAUAUAUUGAAGUUUGCUUGAAAGAUUUAUUUCUAUAAAGAGUAAGAUGUUGGUUUUGCAUUUGAGUCCUAAAAAGUCGAAUACAAACAACUUGGAGUGAUUUUGAAAGUAAUUGCAUCACUUUAAACACAGUUUAUGAGCCCUGUUGUAGUUCAUUAUAAAACCAAUUUAUUUCUUGCAGUGGUAUUAAUAAUCCUAAUAGAAUUAAAAGUGGAAAACAUGAUUAAAAGCAAUCCUUCAGACAAAAACUCUGAUCAAGGGAACUUUCAAGUUGAAAAUGUAAGUAUCAGAUUAGAACACUGAUUUUUGAACAAGAUUACAAAGUCAAACCUGGUUUUUUCCCCUUAAAAGAAGAAAUGCCAUUAGAUAUGAUUGUUACAUGCUCAGUGAUUCAUGGGCCUGCUUAUGUACUUUGUGAGAUAUGAAUUAUUUAGGAAGAAAAAUCACAAUAAUUUUGUUGUUACUCAAGAAUUUAUAGGUUGACAGAAAAACAAUUAUGCAGCCCCUGGAGCUGGUCUGAAGGGGUACAGGAGCAUCAUUAACCACACACAGCCCAACUGUGGAGUUACCUUCUCACUGUGCAGCACAGAAUCUGCUUGUUUCCAAAAGUUAUUCACAAUUUCCAGCAAAAACUAAAUAUUUACUAAUUUAGCCUAAACCAAGUUCACUGUUGUUAUGUUUCAGUCUGAUUUGGUUUACUGUGAAAAAAGAGCUUCAAAAGAUCUGCUCGAGGCCAGUGAAUUUCCCUGUGAACUGAAAAUAAGCUUAGAAACUGGCUCAGGGAGGAAGCAGGGAUGAUAAAUUGACUUUGGUGAACCAAGGGCUGGCACAGAGAUCCUGAUUCCUCCAGGUGUGUUUCAUACUCAGUGUCUGAAUUACAGGUGGACAGGGAUUGUCUCUCAUCGGGAAGACGGAUCGUGGUUUGGACCAGGCUGAUUUCAGCUGCAUCCCUGACACGGAGGGAACUCAGAGAUGGCAGAAUGCACCUGGACAUCAACUCCGGAGAGCCGGGACGUGGAGGAUCCGUGAGGUGUGUGACAGUGCUGGCACAACUGCCCGAGCCCUUCCCUCACCUGCUGCUGCAGCUGUUGGGCUGUCCCUGAGCCCAUCCAGAGCCC